AGGAGCAACACUGAAAGAUCACAGAUCUCACUCUCAUCACCUCUAAAGAACAGCUGGAGAUUAGCAAAACUCAACACCUGCAGACCCUGAGCUACAGAGGACAGAACAGUCGGCAAAGGCAGAUCGACACCAAUCGUGACGAUCAUGAUGGGCCUGUUGUUCACCCUUCGCCUCCUCAUUGCUGGAGUCGUGUUGGUUUUGUUGCUUUUAUUACUCUGGCAGAAAAUCAUCACUGACAGACUUAGUCCACGUAGGAAAGCAAGUUUCAGAUGUAGUAAUGCCAGCGUUAAAAGAUCCAGCGAUAUCAUUUACUGUUUCGCUAAAGGUUAGCUCUUGAGAAACUGGAUGCUGAGCGCAGCAGCUCAGUGGAAACAUGUGGAGGAAACAUAAAGACGAAACAUUGGCUUGCUUGUUACAAGAGGACAAACUUCCAGUCACCCAAACUGUAGUAACUUUAUUAAACGUUUGAAUGUAUUUUAUUUCUUAUUUUCAUGCUUCUUUUUUUCAGUUUCUGAAAUUUAAUUUGUAGUGUUUUUAUGUUUAAUUUUACUUCCAUGCAGAUAUUAAUAUUUCAACUUACUGUGUUGGGGUGUCAACAAAAGGUUUAAUGCAGUAAUAAAAUGUUUUUUAUUUCAGA